UAACUCUGGUGUCUCCUCAUUUGCGGAUAAAUCUUUCGCCUUUUACUAAAGAUUUCCGUGGGG
rfam:Trichobilharzia regenti genome assembly, scaffold: TRE_contig0031768